UAGAGUUGCAAAACUCCCAACCAUUGUGAACCUACCUCACCGUUGCUUCGGCGGGUGGCCCGGGGCAACCCAGGCCGCGCCGGCACCCUUCUUCGGGGGGCCCGGCAAGCCCGUCAGAGGACCGAAACCCUGUAAUUACUGGCCUCUCUGAGUAACUUAUACAAUAAGUCA
rnacentral:misc_RNA from 1 species